rnacentral:lncRNA from 1 species
ACUUGAUGCAGAAUGGAAUGCAAUAAUUUGUUGUGCUUGGUUGACCUUUUUUUUCAAUGUACUACAAAUGUACAUGUACAUUUACAAAAGUUGGCUAAAUCUGUCAUGGUUGAAAGCAGUGUCUGCUUAUGUUAAAGCUGGUGAAGACAUGGUAAAUGCUUCACCUGUUUGAUGUUUCAUAAUCUUGCAUUGGCUAUAGUGAUUCCAAAGGA